rnacentral:rRNA from 1 species
AUGCCAACCGAACAAGUGGAAGAACAAACUACCGAUUCCGUCGAAGCUAUAGUGGAAGAGAAUGUUGAAGUUCACGGGGUUGAAGGUAUAACUAUUUUUAGUGAAGAUUACAUAAAUGGUGAUCCAGGCCUUCGCAUUCCACUUGAUAGUUUUGCCCCCAACAUUAGAGAUGAUGUUAGAUUUGCUUAUAUCCGAAUGGGUGCAACUCAACCAACUAGUUGCACUUUCCUCCCAAAUAGAGAUGGAAGAUGCUUCCGGCCACAAUGGUAUAAGGAUUUUGAGUGGUUGGAAUAUAGUGUGGAUAAGCAUAAGGCAUAUUGCUUCUAUUGUUAUCUUUUUAAGCAUGACCGAAUGGAUGAUAAAUUUGGGCAUGAUGUUUUCUCCAAAUUGGGUUUUGACUGUUGGAAAAAUGCGGUUGCAGCAUUCCGUAAACAUGUUGGUGGGCCAUGUAGCAUCCACAAUAUUUCAAAAACAGCAUGUGAUGAUUUUAAAAAUCAAAGGGCAAGUGUGAAAAGUAAAGUUACAACUUACAGCAAAGGUUCACUAGUCAAGUAUGAAACUCGUGUGGAUACAUCUUUGGCCAUUGUAAGUUAUCUAGCAUUGCAAGGUGAACCAUUUCGUGGACACGAUGAAUCCACUUCUUCUUUGAACAAGGAGAAUUUUUUGGAGCUACUUGAUUGGGUGAAAGAAAGAAUUCCAGAAGUGAAGGUUGCAUUUGAUGAGCUAUGCCCUAAGAAUGCCCAAAUGACUUCCGGAAAAAUUCAAAAAAUCCUUGUUUCUCAUUGUGCAAAUGCGGUCACCAAAGCAAUCAAAGAAGAGAUGGGUGAUUGUCUUUUCUCCGUUCUUAUUGAUGAGUGCCGUGAUAUAUCGGUGAAAGAACAAAUGGCCGUGGUUAUUAGGUACUUGAGCAAACAAGGAGAGACUAUUGAACGUUUUUUAGGUAUUAAGCAUGUCCCGGACACAACAUCUUCUUCUUUAAAGAAGGCAUUGUUGGAGGUUUUUGCUAAACACGGUCUAGUUGUUGCACGACUACGAGGGCAAGGGUAUGAUGGGGAAUCUAAUAUGAGAGGAGAAUUCAAUGGCCUUCAGAAGUUAAUUCGAGAUGAGAACCCAUAUGCUUUCUAUAUCCAUUGCUUUGCCCACCAACUGCAGUUGGUAGUUGUUGCUGUUUCGAGAUGCUGCAAGUGUUGA